UUUUGCUUUGGGUUCGAACAAGCAGAAACUGAAGAAGGAAGAAGAGUCUGAUUUUGUGUUAUGACUGGAUUAUUUGCUUCUGUUAACAUCUUCAUAUCUCUGUGAUCAUAAGGUCAGACAUAAUUAGAGGAUAAGAGAAAGGGGAAAAUGUGAAGAUAUAAUGAUUGCUUUACAUAUGUGGAUUUUAAAAGAUGUUAUAUAACUUGUACUUGAUAACUUUUUAUGUUUACAAGUUUUGUGUUGGGUGUAUAUGGAAAACAUUGUAGCUACUUUUGUAGUAUGACAAGUUGUACAUUUGGGACUAGUGUGUAAUUAUUUGAAUUUCAUAUUAUAUGAAAUAUGAGGGUUAUAUGCAAA